rnacentral:misc_RNA from 1 species
CGGAGUUCAGUCUUCCCAGGCCCACCACUUUCAUCGAGUGAGCAUUCGUCUUCUGGUUACGGGGCCAUAGCUCAGCUGGGAGAGCGCGUGCUUUGCAAGCAUGAGGUCGUCGGUUCGAUCCCGUCUGGCUCCACCAGAUGGUUUGAUCACCGAGAUCUUGACCGUCGUCCGCGAAACAUCACUUCGCAUCCUGCUAGUCUGGAUAGACAGCAGUUUGCGUGUUUUCUGACAUCGUAAAGAGGAGAUCGAUCCGAGUUGGGUCGUGCAGCAUAUCGUUGCGCGAGCCUUCAUUAUCUCCGGAUCAUUUCGGCGCUCGCUUCCAGCCGUGAGGUUGGAUGCGGGUUGUAAAUGAUCCUUUUAGCGAAGCUUGACCGCCUCGCUAUCGGAACGAUCUUACGAAGCAAGCUGGUCUUUCUAGUCAAUGUCCGGCUGCGGAUAGCGUUCAUCGAGGGCGCGUGCCGCAAGGCAAUUCUGCAGACAACAUUCUGCCGAGUGUGUGGACAUUGAUAAUGAGAGCAAUCAAGUGCCUUAAGGGUGUUCGGUGGAUGCCUUGGCGCUGAGAGGCGAUGAAGGACGUGCUACGCUGCGAUAAGCCGUGGGGAGCUGCGAAGAAGCUUUGAUCCGCGGAUUUCCGUG